GGAAGUUAAAAAUACUAUACAGAUGGCUAAUUGCCAAGGGAUAGAAAAUAGUUCCUAGAAUAGCCCCGCCUCGUACCAAUUAAAGGAGAAUUUCAGGGAGUGAGACAUAGGCAUUUGUGUUUUUAAAAACCCUCCAGGCAAUUCUGCUAUGCAGCCAAGUUUGAGAAGCAAUGCCUAAGUGAUUUGGGAAAAUACUACCAGUGUAAUAUAUGAAAUGGGACUUUCCAAUCAAAGUUCUGCUUGUUUGACUCAAUAAAAACAGGAGGUGGGUUUUUUUUUCUAGGUUUUCAUUGUUAUCUACUCCAAGAUUGUUAUCCACUCUUUAAAUGAAAAGAAAUCUACAAUGCCUUGUGGAUUUACAGGAACAAGGAGGUUUGGCUAUCGUUACAUGAGAGAACGUUACCCAAGGACAAAGAAGUUUCACAGACUUCCCCUGGACCCUUGUUGGUGCCCAGAUGUCUGCGGUUCCCUGUCACUUAAAUAUAAAAGACAAGGCAAAGCUCGCAUAAUUCUAAGAUGGUUCUUUAGGACAUUGGUCUGCUUCUUCUUGGUUUCCUGGCUCCCCAAAAUAAAGUCGCUUUCCUUCCUCCACCUCCUUGUCUCUUGACUUAUUGACGUGAUGUGGCAAGAAGAACAAGUUUGGACUCAGUCACAAUCCAUCCCACACUUCCUCUUCUCCUUCCCUGCUUCCUUUGUCCCCAUGGCAUUUACCACCUUCUAGUGCAUUAAUUUUGUCACGGUGAUUAUUUAUGAUCCGU
rnacentral:lncRNA from 10 species